AAGUGAUUGAAGAAGUGGUUGUAAAAUACCCACCACCGAGAAGAAAGAACAUAGAAGGGAAGGUGUGGUCGGGUGACACACUACAAGUGUGUGCACCGUGGAGAAUGGGCAGUGAGAAAGGAGAGAGUCUCCAUGUUUAAUGGGCAGUGAGAAAGGAGAGAGUCUCCAUGUUUGUGUAUUGUGUGAGAGAAAGAGUGAAAAUGGGUUGUGUGUUGUGAGUUGUAUGUUGUGAGUUUGAGAGAUUAAUGUGUUGUGUUUGUAUUUGUAUGUUCUGGAUAGUUUGUCCAGAAAAUUUAUAUAUAUACAUAAUGAAGAGUAUAUUUCCCGGAUAA